UGGAGGAAAGUAGGGGAUCGUAAGACCUUGCGCUUUUGGAGCGGCCGAUGCCUGAUUAGCUAGUUGGUGGGGUAAAGGCUUACCAAGGCAACGAUCAGUAGUUGGUCUGAGAGGACGGCCAGCCACACUGGGACUGAGACACGGCCCAGACUCCUACGGGAGGCAGCAGUGGGGAAUUUUGGACAAUGGGCGCAAGCCUGAUCCAGCAAUGCCGCGUGAGUAAAGAAGGCCUUCGGGUUGUAAAGCUCUUUCAGUCGAGAAGAAAAGAUUGUGACGAAUAACCACAAUUCAUGACGGUAUCGACAGAAGAAGCACCGGCUAACUACGUGCCAGCAGCCGCGGUAAUACGUAGGGUGCAAGCGUUAAUCGGAAUUACUGGGCGUAAAGGGUGCGCAGGCGGCUUUGUAAGUCAGAUGUGA
rnacentral:rRNA from 1 species